GAGAGCGGCGUACGGGUGCGGAACACGUGUGCAACCUGCCUUUAUCUGGGGGAUAGCCUUUCGAAAGGAAGAUUAAUACCCCAUAAUAUACUGAAUGGCAUCAUUCGGUAUUGAAAACUCCGGUGGAUAGAGAUGGGCACGCGCAAGAUUAGAUAGUUGGUGAGGUAACGGCUCACCAAGUCUACGAUCUUUAGGGGGCCUGAGAGGGUGAUCCCCCACACUGGUACUGAGACACGGACCAGACUCCUACGGGAGGCAGCAGUGAGGAAUAUUGGACAAUGGGUGAGAGCCUGAUCCAGCCAUCCCGCGUGAAGGACGACGGCCCUAUGGGUUGUAAACUUCUUUUGUAUAGGGAUAAACCUACCCUCGUGAGGGUAGCUGAAGGUACUAUACGAAUAAGCACCGGCUAACUCCGUGCCAGCAGCCGCGGUAAUACGGAGGGUGCAAGCGUUAUCCGGAUUUAUUGGGUUUAAAGGGUCCGUAGGCGGAUCUGUAAGUCAGUGGUGAAAUCUCACAGCUUAACUGUGAAACUGCCAUUGAUACUGCAGGUCUUGAGUGUUGUUGAAGUAGCUGGAAUAAGUAGUGUAGCGGUGAAAUGCAUAGAUAUUACUUAGAACACCAAUUGCGAAGGCAGGUUACUAAGCAACAACUGACGCUGAUGGACGAAAGCGUGGGGAGCGAACAGGAUUAGAUACCCUGGUAGUCCACGCCGUAAACGAUGCUAACUCGUUUUUGGAAUGUAAGUUUCAGAGACUAAGCGAAAGUGAUAAGUUAGCCACCUGGGGAGUACGAACGCAAGUUUGAAACUCAAAGGAAUUGACGGGGGCCCGCACAAGCGGUGGAUUAUGUGGUUUAAUUCGAUGAUACGCGAGGAACCUUACCAAGGCUUAAAUGGGAAAUGACAGGUUUAGAAAUAGACUUUUCUUCGGACAUUUUUCAAGGUGCUGCAUGGUUGUCGUCAGCUAGUGCCGUGAGGUGUUAGGUUAAGUCCUGCAACGAGCGCAACCCCUGUCACUAGUUGCCAUCAUUAAGUUGGGGACUCUAGUGAGACUGCCUACGCAAGUAGAGAGGAAGGUGGGGAUGACGUCAAAUCAUCACGGCCCUUACGCCUUGGGCCACACACGUAAUACAAUGGCCGGUACAGAGGGCAGCUACACUGCGAAGUGAUGCAAAUCUCGAAAGCCGGUCUCAGUUCGGAUUGGAGUCUGCAACUCGACUCUAUGAAGCUGGAAUCGCUAGUAAUCGCGCAUCAGCCAUGGCGCGGUGAAUACGUUCCCGGGCCUUGUACACACCGCCCGUCAAGCCAUGGAAGU
rnacentral:rRNA from 1 species